rnacentral:rRNA from 1 species
GUGGGGAAUAUUGGACAAUGGGCGAAAGCCUGAUCCAGCCAUGCCGCGUGUGUGAAGAAGGUCUUCGGAUUGUAAAGCACUUUAAGUUGGGAGGAAGGGCAGUAAGUUAAUACCUUGCUGUUUUGACGUUACCGACAGAAUAAGCACCGGCUAACUUCGUGCCAGCAGCCGCGGUAAUACGAAGGGUGCAAGCGUUAAUCGGAAUUACUGGGCGUAAAGCGCGCGUAGGUGGUUUUGUAAGUUGGAGGUGAAAUCCCCGGGCUCAACCUGGGAACUGCCUCCAAAACUGCAUGACUAGAGUACGGUAGAGGGUAGUGGAAUUUCCUGUGUAGCGGUGAAAUGCGUAGAUAUAGGAAGGAACACCAGUGGCAAAGGCGACUACCUGGACUGAUACUGACACUGAGGUGCGAAAGCGUGGGGAGCAAACAGGAUUAGAAACCCCGGUAGUCC